rnacentral:tRNA from 1 species
UUGGAUCACCUCCUAACAGGGAGACAAACAACGAUUUUGAUGUCUGAGUUAUUUAUUCUUAGGCCAAAAUCCUGUCACUUUAGGUCGAUCGGUACCUCAACUUUUAAGCUAAGAGAAUUCCAGCAAUGGUUGUCUGCUUAGUGGAGAUUUUUAGUUCCUAAACUUUGUCUAGUUCACAACCCAUUAGGGAUGAGACUCCUGGGCCAUUAGCUCAGGUGGUUAGAGCGCACCCCUGAUAAGGGUGAGGUCCCUGGUUCAAGUCCAGGAUGGCCCAUUCGGUGUAGGGGGUUUAGCUCAGUUGGUAGAGCGCCUGCUUUGCAAGCAGGAUGUCAGGAGUUCGAGUCUCCUAACCUCCACUGACUACCAAAAUCCCCAUCUCCAAAACCUGGAGUAUGAACUCGUAUGGAUUGUGAUUUAGAUUUGUCCGCUAGAUGACCCUAGCUUCUUGUCAUUUUAAGCCAUGGAAAUAAUUCCAUGAUUUGAUUGAUAGGACGCUGGGCUCGAUGCAAUGUAUUGAGAGAUCAAUGCAUUGUUUUGAUGUCUAGCCGAACCUUGACAACUGCAUAGUUUAAGUCUGGAAAGAAUAAAGCAUCUUUAUGGAUGCAUCAUUUUUUUGUGUUAAUGCAUGAAGGAGUGAUGUUAAUUCUAAAGCAAGAGCCGAGACUCCAGUAUGUUCUUUCAAAUGUGUCGAGCAUUUGGGAGUUUGAUUUUAAUUUCUAUUUUUAGAUUCUAAUUUUAGAAAUUAGAAAAAUCUGUUUCAACAACAGCAAGCGUGCUGGAGAUACAUUGGUCAAGCUACAAAGGGCUCACGGCGGAUACCUUGGCACACAGAGGCGAUGAAGGA